ensembl:lncRNA
GGAAGGAGGGAGGGAUUAAGGGAGGAGCAAAACUGAGACUCAAGUACAGAAAAGACAGAAACUUUCACAGUGGUGUUUCAUCCAAAAAACAGACAGAUUGUCUUUAUCUUUAAGAUGCUGUCAGUGAACUUCAGUCUGUUUGUGACUUUGUUUCUGCUCACAAUAAGAGGUGUCAGCUGUGAAGAACUCACUGCAGUCAAGAAACAAGAGCUCAGUUUAGAAGACAGCACUGUUACUCUGUCCUACACAUACUCUAAACAAGCUGAUGUAACUGAUUAUUUCUUCUGGUAUCGACAAUAUCCAGGAAAACCACCACAGUUCCUCAUCUCUCACUCAGGAACAGGAAAGUUAAUGUCUAACCCAGUCUCUAGACUGUCAGUUACAGUGAGUGAGGAUAAAACCCAAAUGGAUCUGCAGAUCUCCUCUGCUGCAGUGACAGACUCUGCUCUGUACUACUGUGCUGUGAGGCCCACAGUGACAGCAAACCCACAGUCUCUGUACAAAAACACAAGCUGACACACUGACAAGCUGCUGGAAGCCUUUUUUCCACACUGUUGGACUCAACUUUUUAGCUCCACUAGAGGGCGACAUUAUCAAGUAGGCGGUGCACUACUUCUGCACUGUGUUCAACCAUUCUGUCAAUAAUAACUGCUGCUGUGAAGAGAACAAUUGUCACACUGAAUGUUGAACAUCAGCUAGUUUCUCCUGUUGAUUUAAACCUUGUUGUAGAGAUGGAACAUUGGCUGUGGAUUAUUCUUGCUGCUCUUUUCUUUGGUAAGAUAGAAAGCACAACAUGUUUUUAUUCUUUUCUAAAGAUUGAUGGAAACUGGAGUUCAGAGCAGAAAUCUCUCAACAGUUGAGCUGUUUCUGUCCACAGAGUAACACUGUACACUUGAUAUUUUCCACUGUCUUCUCCUCUCAGCCUCAUGAACAAUGUUAGUCUAAUGGCUUCAUUUUCUCCACUUUUUCCAGGACUAAUAGCUGGAGACACAAUCUCUCCUGUAGGAGAUAAAGUCAGUGGAAGAGAAGGAGAAUCUGUCACACUCAAAUGUCAAUAUGAGACAACUGGCAGCUAUAUAGACCUUCACUGGUACAGACAUUCUGACCUUCAGGCUCCUCAGUUUAUACUCUGGAAAGGAGCAAAAGGAUCUUCAGCUGAAUAUAUUCCAGAUAAACGAUAUGAAUCUGAAACAACAGGUUCAUCAACUGAACUGACCAUCAGAAAACUAACCCUGGCAGACACAGCUCUCUACUACUGUGCUCUAGAAACACAGUGAUACAAAGUGUAGAAGAGGCUGUACAAAAACCUGAACACAGAUAUCUGACUACUCUUCAAAGAGGAGGGAAGUGGUAUUCAAACCACAGCUUCAUAUCAGAUGGAUUCUGCUAAUUCCUGUUUUAUCAGAGUCACUGUGGUUACAGCUGCUAAUGAAACACUGUGGGAGGAUUCACAUGAGCAGCAAAUCCACAUCAAUGACAAACCAACUGGAUGAUGCUUCAAACACAAGACACCAUGGAAACAAAUAAAUCAACACUGAAAAUUAAAAUGAGUAAUAUGUGACAUCUGAACAACAAC